AUCACUGGGCAAACAGAGGGACGAGUGUAAUAUGAACAAAGGGCUCAAGCCCAUGAUGUGGAAACCCACAGAAUCAGAUAUUCUAAACUAGUGGAAGAUGACAAACUGGACCUACAUCAGGGAAACCUGAACCUGCAUAGAACUGAAUAAGGCCCCUGGACACAGGAGAAAUGGCAAGAAGGAUCUUGUUGAAUAUAGUAUAAAUCUUGAAGAGGCUAGACCAACUGAGGCACCUGGGAAAGACAUCCUCCACCCUGAUGAGCUGCCUGCAGAAGUUUCCAGCUUCUGUUUGUGGGGUGCGCUGCAUGCAACACACAGUAAUUCAACAAAAAGUGGCCUCCUGCAUGUAAUUGCCUUUCCUGGAGAAAACCAAUUUGAUCCCCAAGAGGUCUACCAGCCACUCCUUCACUUCUGACAAUGGUCUUUUAUUUUAAACCCACCAAGUAUAAUCUGGAGUACUCAUAUACUGCAGAGUGAAGACUACACCCUCAAAGAUGACCGAGUCUCCCUCCCCAAGAAGCCAUCAGCUGUCAGCAGGGUCUUGGCUAAGGAUGGUAGCCUGCAAGACCACCUGUGCUCUACGCUGGAACAGUAGCUGUCUUUGUGAGACCACCCGUGUUCUAUGUUGGGACACUGGCUGGCUUUAUGAGACCAACCAUGCUCUACGCUGGAAUUCUGGGUGGCUUUGCGGGACCACCUGUGCUCUACACACUGGGACACUGGCUGGCUUAAGCACGUGCAGGUCUUGUACAGACAACCACAGCUUCUGUGAGCUCAUAGGUGCAGUGGUUCCACCAUGUCCAGAAGACACUGCUUCGCUCCAGUCUUCCCCUACGUCUGGUUCUCACAAUCUUUCCACCUCCUUUUUGAUGGUAAUCCCUGAGCCUUGGGGCGAAGAGGAGAUGACACAGGACACGGACACUGCUGCUCCAUCUGUGGCUGAGCAUUCCACAGACGCCUAUUCUCUGCAUUUUAGCCUGUUGUAAGUUUUUUGUUUUAACUGAAUGACAAAACCUCUCUCUGAUGGGGACUGAGACACACAUUAAUCUAUCAAAGCAAUAAAUUUUUAAAGCGCUAACCUUUUCAGUGCCACACCUUACAAAAUCAGAGUUCUUCACAAUUGCUUAACUUAGUCUUAUUUUGUAGUUAAUUCAUCCGGUAUGAUGCACAGAAGGAAUUUAAAUUCAAUUGACUCUUUUCAAAGACUGUACAGAUUUUCACCUUUAUGUGGCAGGCUUUCUAUAAUGGCAAGUAUGUGACAGGUGAAGGUAAAUGAAACAAAAAUGAAAAGCCCUGUCACGGAUCUUACUCCUUCUGUAGUAAAUCUAGGCUCAGAGAGACUAGCUCUGAAUUUUACUAUUCAAGCACUAAAUGAAUCUGUCUCCUGCACUCUGGUAGCUCCACCAGAGCAGUGAUACAUAUCCUCAUUUUAAUUAACCUAAUGGUCUAUUCACCAAUCAUACUUAGAGGUCUAUUUCAUUACCCUAAAUUAACAUUUUCUUUCCAUUAAAGUUACAGAUGAUAAAAAAAGGCAUUGCUUCCAUGUGCAGGUUACAGCAUGUGGAAUCUAUAGUACCCUUUAUUUAGCGAUUACAAGCACUUAGAAUUAGCAGCAGCCCCGUGAUUUAUUUACUCACAUAGAGUGCUGUUAAUAAGGUCAAUAAAAAAUGCAGUAUUUCAAAAAUAAAAAUAUCUAUUCAUUAGCUCAAUGAAAGCAACUGUAAGAGAGGUGUUGACUGACCUCAUGUAAAAGGUGUGUGGUUCUCCUUGAGGGAAAUGGGCUUGUAUUUACAUAAUUGUACAACCUGACCUGACAUUCUGUCUCCUCUUUCUUCUUGCAGUGAGAUUUAGGUUCUCAAGU